CCCACACGUGUGGGAGUUUAGUGAGACUCAAAGCAAGUACAAGUCGCAGAACCUAUCAACAUUAAGUGAGGACUUACUGUACUAACGCAGAGCCUGACUCAUAACAGCUCAUCAGGUGAUACCAAGAUGAGGCUCAUG